CCUACGGGUGGCAGCAGUAGGGAAUAUUGCUCAAUGGGGGAAACCCUGAAGCAGCAACGCCGCGUGAAGGAUGAAGGUUUUCGGAGUGUAAACUCCUUUUGUUAGAGAAGAUAAUGACGGUAUCUAACGAAUAAGCACCGGCUAACUCCGUGCCAGCAGCAGCGGUAAUACGGAGGGUGCAAGCGUUACUCGGAAUCACUGGGCGUAAAGAGAGCGUAGGCGGGAUAGCAAGUCAGAUGUGAAAUCCUAUGGCUUAACCAUAGAACUGCAUUUGAAACUGUUAUUCUAGAGUAUGGGAGAGGUAGGUGGAAUUCGUGGUGUAGGGGUAAAAUCCGUAGAGAUCAAGAGGAAUACUCAUUGCGAAGGCGACCUGCUAGAACAUAACUGACGCUGAUGCGCGAAAGCGUGGGGAGCAAACAGGAUUAGAUACCCUAGUAGUC
rnacentral:rRNA from 1 species